rnacentral:tRNA from 1 species
GCCCCGUUAGUUUAAUGGUAAAACAGACGACUUGUAAUCGUCUGAUGUGAGUUCGAUUCUCACACGGGGCUCCA